CUCCAGCUCAUUUUACCGAGGAGCAAACAGAGAAAGGAUCACUGAACUGCAGCAUGUUAGCAUUGAAGAGAUAUUAGAGAACAUCCCUAAGCCAAAAAUGUCAACAAAAUAAUAGACCGUGUUAAGAGAAGAAGGAUUUCCUCAAAAGGAGGUGAACAUGACAGUCCUUUACUCUGGUCAGACCACAUGUGAAGUCUUGGGUUCGGUUCUGGGUGCCAUAUUUCAGGAGGGAUGCUGCCAGACUGUUGAAAUAUCCAGAGGAGGAGAUCAACCAAGAGGGCCCACCAGAACAAAUUGAAUUACUUUUCCACAUGACAGCCCUUCACAUACUUGAUGACAACUAUUAUGCCCCAGCCUGAGUCUUCUCUUCUCCAGAUGAAGAAUCUCCAGUUACUUUGUGGAAUGUGAGAAUAUUUCUAUAAUCUCCUCAUGGUCCCAAUUUGUGAUUGUGAAAAGUUAGAUAGCUCAGUUUACUUAGCAUGACCUCCAGAAAAAAUGAUUGCUGACCUCUUCAUCUACCUUUAUUCCCUCUCAUCUACUCUCUUUGGAGACACCAGGUUUACUUUCCUCCCUUUUUAAAAAUACAUGACAUGGAGUAUUGCUUGUCCUAUGGGAGAGGGUCCCAUUCUACUCAUUUUAAACCAGGCUGGACAGAGUGGACCAAAAAAUUCAGAAAUGGCCAUUUUGGCCCAGAAAUACCUAGCACUAUCCUUGGGAUGACUCUUUUUAUCUCCCUGGUCUCAGUUUCUUCCUAUGUACAACUAGAGGACUGGACUAAGUGCUAUUCAAAAAUUCCUUGCUCCCAAAUUUUAUGUUAUUAGAAUAUUAAGAAAAAAACUUGACUUUUUUUGAGGGGACACAU